rnacentral:lncRNA from 1 species
AUGUUAGCACAAACAGCUGCCAUUGCAGCUGGAGAACCGACUGCAUUAACCAGGAGGCUCUCAAAAGAAGGACAGAACUGGCCACAGGGUAAAGAGAGACUUCACUCACUGCCCUUUUUCAGUUUUUCAGAUUCAUCUGGCUUUGUGGACUCUUCUUUUCACACUUAUAAAUUCAAGCUCUUUAUUCCCUACAUGGAUUGAUCCAGGCCUGCACACAGCCUUCUGGAAAGUUGUUUAUAAGUACUGUUGGAUCCAUCUACAACCAGAGAAGGAAACCAAAGAACAUGAAUAUGAGUUAAGUUUGACCCUCACCUGCUCUAAGACCCAAAAGUUUACUGAGAAGAAUAUAAACAUUUUCUAGCACCUUCUGCUAAGGAAGAGAAAAAAGUAUGAUCAAUCUGCACACAAAAGGUAAAUGGACUAUAAUCUAAACAAACUAUUUUCUUCCACCUGUUGCUAAGGAACAGAAAAAGGGAGGAGAGGAGGAAAGGAGGGAGAAAGAAAUUAGUGGAGUUUCAUUUCCAGCAAGACCAAUGCCAUUGUUACAGACACAACACAUAAACUGGAAUAAAUCACAGCCAUGUGGAACUUGAGUUUGAUUCUCCUGUUGAUGAAACAAUUACACAGAAGCAUUUCCUUUCGUAAGAGGAUAAAAUUGCCCCUUUCUGCUGGUCUACAGAAGACAGAAUGAUUUAAUAGCUGUUGGAGAGGAUCCAGAUCUUGGCUAAAUUGCAAAGGAAAUAAAAUCUACUUGUGUGCACAUAUGCACAAGUUUGUACCACACAAGAAAAUGAGAUGAUUUAAAACAUUCCUUUUUCAAAGGAGAGACCAGCUACCUCAGAGUCAAUUUGUAAUCUGUAGUCAGCUACAUCCAAGAUGUGUUGAUGAUGUGGCUGAUUAAUUAAGAAAAAUGUAUGCUACCUUUGUUGUAAUAAAUAACUCCAACUGAUCUUGCAUUAAUAAGAUGCACCAUUUUACUCACUGCCAUCAGCAUUUCAUUAACACUGAAAAAGCCAAACCAAACCAAAACAACAAAAAUGUCCCAUUAUUUUGAUGAUUGAAAUACCCACUGCUAGAUUUGUUGUCAGGAGGAAUGUCUUUUAUUCCUCAAAAUCAGAGCAGUUGUGACC